GAGAGAGAGAGAGAGAGAGAGAGAGAGAGAGAGAGAGAGAGAGAGAGAGAGAGAGAGAGAGAGAGAGAGAGAGAGAGAGAGAGAGAGAGAGAGAGAGAGAGAGAGAGAGAGAGAGAGAGAGAGAGAGAGAGAGAGAGAGAGAGAGAGAGAGAGAGAGAGAGAGAGAGAGAGAGAGAGAGAGAGAGAGAGAGAGAGAGAGAGAGAGAGAGAGAGAGAGAGAGACUUUAUCCAUAUAUGCAUGACCGUUACCCUGGCAGCAGAACAGCACACCUGGUGGUUUGGUGACACACGCCGGGGCCUGACAAGUCAAUUAUCCCCACGGGGUUGGAGUGGUCGGUCACACGUACACACACACACACACACCUGCGUGCGAUCAGCUGGAUACUUUGUUAUUUUGAGAAGGAAGGGUGUCCUGCCAAACAACAGCAGAAAAUCACUUCUCCAGAGCUGUGGCCUUUACUUUGUGUGUGUGUGAUUGUGCGUGGGUAUGUGUUUGUGUGCGCUUGCGUGCAUGCAGCCCUUAGUGACUUGUGUGUCUGGGAAAGGUUGCGUGUACUCUGCGUGAAGAACUUUCUGUUGACGACUGUCUUACAGGUGUGUGUGAAUGUGUGCAUUAGUGUGUUUGUUGUGUCCAUCUCUGCGUGUGUGUGUGUGUGUCACUGUGUAUAUCACUGUGCCUUCCUCUCUGCACGUCUCAGACUGUGUGUGUGUGUGUGUGUGCGGGCCUUCCAGUGACAUUCAGCAGAGCCACGCAGAGGAGACGACGCGGACACAUGACUGAGAAGGUCAGGUGUCACGCCACUCUGCCGUCCACCAAUCACAUGCUCAAAUUGAAACGUUCCUUUGACAUCUUGAUGAACGACCCCAGCUGAGCUGAGCACACUCCCACAGGCGCCAUGGGGCGGCCAUCUUCAAGGUUGUCCUGACGACCGCGUCGCCGUGGACCAGAGCAAACAGAGCCACGAGAAAAGACGAGACAAAUCCUCCUCACAGAGCUGGU